CUUGGUUGGCUUUUGCAAAACCCAAACCACGCUCUUUGUUGUUGUUGUUGUUUUGUUUUGUUUUUUUCCAUAGCCAGUCCAAAGCCUCAAUCAGAGAACUAGCAACGAACGGGUAAAAGCAGCGCUCCGAAAAGAGCGACUGCAGCUCAGCUGCCUCAUCCUGUGCAGCGCUGGCUCACGCGACACGAGAGAGCGAGCAGCGACGUUCCCACCCAGGAGUAGCUGGGGAGGGGAGCAGGCUCGGUCCGGGAGCGCGCCGUGUCGGGCCGGGCUGGUGUGACGGCGAGGCUGCCUCCACGCGCUUCCCUUGACGUUGCGUCCCCGACCUAUCUGCGCUAGAUUGCUUGCGCCUUGGCUGGGAAUAGCUGAAAGCCUGAAACCUUUUCAAGUAUAGUGAAUCAUCUCAGUGAACUACAUCUGCAAUCAGUGCACUCCGAUGGCAAGCAGAAGAGCGUGGCUGACUGACCUCGUUAGUUCAGUGGACCUAAUUAACACUUGGUCAUUCAAAUGCUAAGUAUUUUACUGAUACAGAAUAAAUCACCUCCCUGCAGCUGAAGAUUUAAGCAACUUAACUUCGUAAUCAUCUGUCUCUACCUAAGAUGCUUCAAACUUCCCUAAAUGUAAUUUUAAGCUGAGCUCGUAACAAGCUGGCAGAAGCCUCCAACUAGUUACCCGGGCCCGAACUCUGCGCUCCCUUGGCCUGACCUUGUCGAAAGCCCGGCGACCGAAAGCAGAAAGCGUUUGGCCGGCGCCCGUGGGAGACCCGAGGCGCGGUGAUUCGGGUCAGCCCCCGCCGGAGCGAGGUGCCCGGGGCACGCUGAAGCACCUGCCGUCCUGCAGACGGGGCGCUGCGAAGCCCCGUCCUCGCGGGCGGGCGCCGGGCCGCAGCGGGCUCCGCGGCGGGGAUCGGCGGCUCGGCCGGGCCUCCCGGAGCCGCGGAGCGUCGCCUGGCGGAGGCGGUGCCCCUCCGGUCGUUCGCUGUCGGACGCGGGCUGUGAGGAGCGGGAACGCAGAAGCUGGCGGCACCGCGGGAUGGGUUUGGAGCUCCAGGGCAAAAAGGAGGUGAAAUCGUGAACCUCCUUGAAAGCUGUGGGCGUUUGGUUAGUUGCUGCAGCCGAGCCUUGCCUUCUUCAGGGGCCUGUCAGCUCUACCUAAAA